UUGUGGAGGAGGACGCCGAAGGUGGGGCUAAUGACUGGGGUGAAGUCGUAACAAGGUAGCCGUACCGGAAGGUGCGGCUGGAUCACCUCCUAACAGGGAGACAACAAAAUGUUUAAUAUUAUUAUUUUGUCACCUUAGGUCGAUCGGUAUCUCACGUUUUUAAUUUUUUAAAAAUUUCAUUUCCUAAGUUUUUUCUAGGUCACACCCAUUAUUUUUCCUGGGCCAUUAGCUCAGGUGGUUAGAGCGCACCCCUGAUAAGGGUGAGGCCCCUGGUUCAAGUCCAGGAUGGCCCAUAUCUCUAUGUUGGGGGUAUAGCUCAGUUGGUAGAGCGCCUGCUUUGCAAGCAGGAUGUCAGCGGUUCGAGUCCGCUUACCUCCACUGAUUACCACCUCUUGCAUAAUCUAUGAGAAGGAAAUGUUUUGAGUAGUGAUCAAAUUCUGAACGAAGCUAGCUUCCUAAUGAAAUCAUUAAGAUGCUGGACUCAUUGAUUAAUUUCAUUGUUUUCAGAGAACCUUGACAACUGCAUAGAUUAUUUUUAAAGACAAUAAGCAUCUUUAAUGAUGCAGAUUUAUUAUUUGUGCGAAUGCAUUAAUAACAAUUCUAUUAAGCUGAUGCUUCAAAUUUUGAAGUUAUUGGUCAAGCUACAA
rnacentral:misc_RNA from 1 species